AUGGAUUUUACAAUUUCCCCAAUCCAAAUUCUUGAAACAAUUUUAUCUUUGCUUCUUCUCUACGUUGCCUUGAGAAUCAUAGCCUACACUAAGAAGAAGAUCACCAGCACAAAGACGACCGUGACGACCAAAUUAGUCCCCCAACCCUCUGGAGCAUGGCCCUUCAUCGGUCACCUCCCUCUGCUACGUGGCAAAGACCCAGUUGCCGUAACCCUGGGAGCCAUGGCCGAUGACCAUGGACCAAUCUUCUCACUCAAGCUUGGCCAGCACCAAGUGCUGGUCCUCAGUGCCUGGGAGACAGUCAAAGAAUGCCUCACAACAAACGAUAGAGUUUUCGCCACACGACCAAGCAUGGCAGGAGGCAAGUACUUGGGCUACGACAAUGCCGCUUUUGCAAUAGCCCCCUACGGGCCCUACUGGCGCCACAUCCGCAAGUUGGCCAUGCUGGAGCUCCUCUCGACAAAAAGAGUCGAAAUGCUGAGCCAUGUUAGGACCUCAGAGGUUGACUUGUUCGUCAAAAAUCUGCUCUCACUUUGCACAAAGAAUGGCGCGAGCCCCACGCCAGUGCAUUUGAGUGAGUUAAUUGAGUUCUUAACGUUCAACAUAAACGUGGGGCUGAUUGCUGGGAAGAGAUUCACAGCUGAGCAAUAUAAUGAGACAAACAGUGAUGCUUGGCGUUUUGAAAAGGCUGUGAAGGAUGCUUUGUAUCUGCUUGGCGUUUUUGUUUGGUCAGAUGCUAUGCCAUGGCUUGAGUGGCUGGACAUCUUGUUUGGGCAUGUGGGUUCCAUGAAAAGGUGUUUUAAGGAACUUGACUGUGUGCUUGGGAAAUGGCUAGAAGAGCAUCGCCAGAGAUCAAGGCCUCAAUGCAAGAUCGAUAGGGUUGAAAGUGAUUUGAUGGAUGUGAUGAUGUCCAGCUUUCAAGAGGAGGAGGAUGUAAUUUUUGGCCAUAGCCGUGAUAAUGUCAUCAAAGCAACAGCACUGGUAAGUUUAAUUUAGUGUAACAAUAUAAAGCUAUUCAACAACAAACACUAACUGGAAUGGAGCCGUCAGAUUACGAAUUCACUCAUCAAAUUAUAAAAUGAAAGUGUACGAAUCUUAAUAUCUGAAUGGUAAAUCAAGGACAGAAGGAGGCCUAGGCCAGAAGUGGCUCUGGCCCGCUCAUUUUUCCGCCAUCCCUUUAGCGUAGAAGGAGAGAUGAUAGGAACAAUGAUAAAAUUUCAGCUUAUAAUCCCCUAGACAUUGAAUUUUGGCUCUGCCCCUGAUCAGAAUGUCACGUGAUGGUGAAGCCAUAUAUGCAAGCUUGAGGCGACCAAGGCCACUCAAAUUUACAUGCGGCUCCCUCCUAUUGUUUCCACACAUAAUAUUAUUAUCAGAAAGGGGUCUUUUAAUUAUUAUACAAAUGUUAAUUGUUUUCCUUAAUUGCUUUUGGCAGGUUCUAAUCCUAACUGGCACAGAAAGCACAUCCGUCACUCUAACAUGGGCACUCUCCCUACUACUGAACAACCCAACAACCCUGAAAGCUGCCCAACAAGAACUGGACAUCCACGUAGGAAGAGACAGAUGGGUACAAGAAUCAGACCUCCCUAACCUCAAAUACCUCCAAGCCAUUCUCAAAGAAACCCUACGCAUAUACCCACCUGGCCCACUUGCAGGCCUGCGUGAAGCCACGGAGGAUUGCCAUCUGGCAGGCUACCAUGUGCCCAAGGGCACCCGUGUACUAGUCAACAUUUGGAAACUGCAGCGGGACCCACGCAUGUGGGCCAACCCAAGUGAAUUCCAACCCGAGAGGUUCAUGACCACCCAUGCUGACGUGGAAUUCAAAGAUCAGAAUAAUUUUGAGUAUAUUCCGUUCAGCUCGGGUAGGAGGUCGUGCCCUGGCAUGGUUUUGGGGCUGCAAGUGGUCCAAUUAAUUCUAGCUCGUUUGGUUCAGGGUUUUGAUAUGAGCAGGGUUUGUGAGGAGGCAGUGGACAUGCGUGAAGGGCUGGGGCUUGCCCUGCCCAAAGCAAAUCAGCUGGAGGCUUUGCUAUCUCCACGCCUUCCUCUUCACCUCUAUAAAAACCCUACAAUUGCUAGUAUAGAUGAGAAAGAAAAUCCAUGA
rnacentral:lncRNA from 1 species